AUUGAACGCUGGCGGCAUGCUUUACACAUGCAAGUCGAACGGCAGCACGGGUGCUUGCACCUGGUGGCGAGUGGCGAACGGGUGAGUAAUGCAUCGGAACGUACCUAUCAGUGGGGGAUAACACAUCGAAAGAUGUGCUAAUACCGCAUAUUAUCCGAGGAUGAAAGCGGGGGACCUUAGGGCCUCGCGCUGAUAGAGCGGCCGAUGUCGGAUUAGCUAGUUGGUGAGGUAAAGGCUCACCAAGGCGACGAUCCGUAGCGGGUCUGAGAGGAUGAUCCGCCACACUGGGACUGAGACACGGCCCAGACUCCUACGGGAGGCAGCAGUGGGGAAUUUUGGACAAUGGGCGCAAGCCUGAUCCAGCCAUGCCGCGUGAGUGAAGAAGGCCUCGG
rnacentral:rRNA from 1 species